rnacentral:rRNA from 1 species
ACGCUGGCGGCGUGCUUAACACAUGCAAGUCGAACGGAACUCUUUGGAUCAAGACUUCGGUCAAGUGAGAUUGAGUUUAGUGGCGGACGGGUGAGUAACGCGUGAGGAACCUGCCUUUCAGAGGGGGACAACAGUUGGAAACGACUGCUAAUACCGCAUAACGCGUAGAGAUCGCAUGGUCUUUACGCCAAAGAUUUAUCGCUGAGAGAUGGCCUCGCGUCUGAUUAGCUAGUUGGUGAGGUAACGGCCCACCAAGGCGACGAUCAGUAGCCGGACUGAGAGGUUGACCGGCCACAUUGGGACUGAGAUACGGCCCAGACUCCUACGGGAGGCAGCAGUGGGGAAUAUUGGGCAAUGGGCGCAAGCCUGACCCAGCAACGCCGCGUGAAGGAAGAAGGCUUUCGGGUUGUAAACUUCUUUUGUCGAGGAAGAGUAGAAGACUGUACUCGGCGAAUAAGCCACGGCUAACUACGUG